rnacentral:rRNA from 1 species
UACGGAGGGUGCGAGCGUUGUCCGGAAUCACUGGGCGUAAAGGGCGCGUAGGUGGCCUGUGGAAGUCUGCGGUGAAAGCCCGGCGCUCAACGCCGGGUCGGCCGUGGAUACUCUCGGGCUCGAGCUUACUAGAGGCAGAUGGAAUUCCGCGUGUAGCAGUGAAAUGCGUAGAUAUGCGGAGGAACACCGAUGGCGAAGGCAAUCCCCUGGACCUGUACUGACGCUCAUGCACGAAAGCGUGGGGAGCAAACAGG